AGACACGGACCAGACUCCUACGGGAGGCAGCAGUGAGGAAUAUUGGACAAUGGAGGAGACUCUGAUCCAGCCAUGCCGCGUGUAGGAAGAAUGCCCUAUGGGUUGUAAACUACUUUUAUACAGGAAGAAACACUAGUAUGUAUACUAGCUUGACGGUACUGUAAGAAUAAGGACCGGCUAACUCCGUGCCAGCAGCCGCGGUAAUACGGAGGGUCCAAGCGUUAUCCGGAAUCAUUGGGUUUAAAGGGUCCGCAGGCGGUCGAUUAAGUCAGAGGUGAAAUCCCAUAGCUCAACUAUGGAACUGCCUUUGAUACUGGUUGACUUGAGUCAUAUGGAAG
rnacentral:rRNA from 1 species